AUCAAAUAUGUCAUAUUAGUUCCAUUUCAUACUUAUAACCAAUUUAAACAUCAUUCUGCAACAAUAAUAACAAAAUUUUUAUUCUUAACCUAUACAUCACCUAGGUACAUGCCACAUUAUCAAACAAAGGUACAUCACUAAAAUUUCUCUGAGGUCGGGAUUGCUCUGGAUGCUAGACCGGACACUAGCUUUUUACUAACCUGCGCACGGAAACAACCAUACGCUGAAUAUGUGUAUACUCAGUGGUAUUACCAUAAUUCAAAUUAUAAUAUAAAUAAAGAAUUAUAAUUACCAAGCAUGUAACUAUCCAAUUUCUUAAAUAUCAAAUAAUUCAUAAAUUUUCAUUAUUUGACAAUAACAAUACAAUUUUUAGCUAUUCUUCAAGCUCAAUCACAUAUCACAAUUUUAAAAUUUCUCAUAUUCAAUACCACAAUCGAUCAAAUUCAUUUGAUUUUCUCAUUUCAAUUAUUCACCCUAUUAACAAUCUGGACUUUGACGGAUACACGAAUUUCAACCCAAACACACUAGUACGGCACAUUGUGCCUAAAACGAUACAUAGUACCUGAUCAGUAAACGACACAUAACUGCUUGAAACGGCACACGAGGUGCCUGAUACGACACAUAAAGUGCCUGAUCGGCAAAGCCGAUAAAUCCCGUACUCUUCUAAAUCCUAUGGCAUGCCAAUUAUAUCCGACUCAGCCCGACUAGUUAAUAGGGUAUAUAAAUUUCACAAUCUAAUUUUCACUUUUAUUUCAAGAAUUCAUUUUCAAUAUCAAUACGUAUUUAUCAUUCAAUUCAAUCAUGAUACUUACUUCAAUUUGCUUAUCAUGUAUAUUAAUUUAAAUUUUAACAAUUAAUAAUUAAAUUCGAAUUAUGGUAAUACUAACCGUAAAUUUUCUCAAGUCACUCAUUGUUCACCUUCUCCUUUCCUUUCUCGGACAAUGACUCUUGCACGACAUUAGCUACGUAAUUAAACAAUUAAAAAUCAUUAAUACACAAUUUCAUUAAAAUAUUUCUAUUUAUACCUAAACUUUACCUAAAUUCUAAUUUAAUCUCUUAUCAAUACUAAUUUUAUUUUCUCAAUCUAACUCCAUAUUCUCUCUUAAUUCUUACUAUAAAUUCACUUUAACUCUUCAUUUUCACCAUAAAUCCCUAAUUUCAAAAUUCUCUCAAUUUAGUACCUAUUAAUUCAAAGCCUAUAAUUUAUUUUACAAAUCAACCUUUUACUAACUUCUAACUUGAAAUUUAAUCAAUUUAACCCCUAAUUCUUUCAUUUAUUCAACAUAAUCAAUGUCUAGAAACAUAAUAACUUCCCAAAUUUCAGCAAAAAUCCAACAAUACUUUAUUCUAGAAUACCAAAAACUCAAAAAUUAUAAGAAAAUGACUUAAUUUGACUUACCAAUUGAGCUUGGAAUCUUGAAAUCCCAAAUUUUCUUCCUUUCCUUCCCUUUUUUUUCUUUUUCUUUCCUUUCCUUCUUUCCUUCUCUGUUUCGUUUGCC
rnacentral:lncRNA from 1 species